UGCCAGCAGCCGCGGUAAUACGAAGGGGGCUAGCGUUGUUCGGAAUUACUGGGCGUAAAGCGUACGUAGGCGGAUUAUUAAGUCAGAUGUGAAAUCCCGAGGCUCAACCUCGGAACUGCAUUUGAAACUGGUAAUCUAGAGAUCAGGAGAGGUUAGUGGAAUACCGAGUGUAGAGGUGAAAUUCGUAGAUAUUCGGUGGAACACCAGUGGCGAAGGCGACUAACUGGACUGAUACUGACGCUGAGGUACGAAAGUGUGGGGAGCAAACAGGAUUAGAUA
rnacentral:rRNA from 1 species